rnacentral:lncRNA from 1 species
UUGGGACCACCCGCAGAGUAGACACAACAUAACGUCAUCUGUUAGAGGCUAUGAUUCCCACCACUCCACGCGUUCUCUCUCCUAGUAUGACAUCAAAAGGCAAACCACCAAGGUAAGGAACUGCCUCCUUCACCAGAGAAAAAGCUUCCCUUGGGUUACUCAGGUGCCUUACAAACGACUGGGAUGAAUUUAUUUAUUUGUGUAUUUAUUUGUUAAAGAUUUUACUUAUUUAUUUUUGAGAGAGUGAGAGAAAGCAUGAGCAAGGGGAGAGGGUGGGGCAGAGGGAGAAGCUGACUGAGUGGGGAGCCAGCUGGGGACUUGAACCCAGGCCCCUGAGAUCAUGACUGAGCCAUAAGCAGACACUUAACUGACUGAGCCACCCAGGUGCCUGGACUUGGAUGAAUUUAGAACUGAGCUGUGUCCUAUCUUGCAGAGUUCUCUACCAUCAGAAGAAACAGCAGGUGGUGGAUCCAUCCAGCCCGUUAACAGCACACCAGCCUCCAAAAAGAAGUCCACACUGGAAAAGCAGGGGUCAGGUCACCAUGAUCCUCAUCCAAGGCCACCUCUCCACACUGCCCAGCCUCUUCCAUCAGCCAGUGUGGAAAACUGGCCACACUUCAGAGGAACGUCCAUCAUUUUGCGGUCUGGGAUCUGGAUGAUUUAGCAGGUGACCAUGAGCCAGCACUAAACAGAAUGGAGCUGAAUUUCCUAGGGAGACAUAAAACUAAUGUCCUGGCCUCUUGUGGUUACAAAAGAUCCUUCCCAACACAGCACAACUCAGCCCAGGAAAUUUCCCAGGUGAUUUUAGUUGGAUGCAAGUUUGCCCCUCACUUCCAAGCCUCGACUGUUUUGGAAUGUUGCUAUGCAUUAUUAAACAGCUGCCACAUUUUGUCCAAGAGGUGGCCACAUUUCAGUGGCUGGUGAAGUAAUUCCUGUUUAUAUGCGCAGUUGCAAAACAUUUCGGAACCCUCUGGCAUGAAAAGCAUCUUAUAAUACAUCAUUACUUAUUUUUAACAAUAGUCGGAGAGGGAUGAGGACUUUUUCCCACAUACACAUACUUUGAAAGGUGAUAGUCAACCAGGAACAACUUCUGAUGGGUUCUCUGCUUUUAUCCAGUUGAUUGGAGCACAGCUGGGAAUGUCGCUUUAAUGGUGAAACAAAUCUUAAGGUAAUUUCUUGGAAUGCGUAUCUGAUGAGACAAGACCGAAAACAAAAGAAAAAAAAAUAGUAGAGUUGAACACAGUCAUCUACAUAUUUAGUUGCUUCGAACAAUAAGAGCCAUCACACUAGAGAAGAAUUUGUGUUCUGUUGAGUCACAUAGCCAUUGUGCUCAUUCAUCAUGGGCUGGGCAGCCGAAUAAUUGUGAAAAUCAAAUUAUUUCUUUCAGAAAGCUGGCCAAAAAAAUAUUGCAAGAAACUUG